rnacentral:rRNA from 1 species
GAGUUUGAUCCUGGCUCAGGACGAACGCUGGCGGCGUGCCUAAUACAUGCAAGUCGAACGAACGGAUAAAGAGCUUGCUCUUUUGAAGUUAGUGGCGGACGGGUGAGUAACACGUGGGUAACCUGCCUCACAGCUGGGGAUAACAUCGAGAAAUCGAUGCUAAUACCGAAUGUGCUGAACAUCAUAAGAUGUUCAAGUGAAAGACGGUUUCGGCUGUCACUGUGAGAUGGACCCGCGCUGGAUUAGCUAGUUGGUAAGGUAAUGGCUUACCAAGGCGACGAUCCAUAGCCGACCUGAGAGGGUGAUCUGCCACAUUGGGACUGAGACACGGCCCAAACUCCUACGGGAGGCAGCAGUAGGGAAUCUUCGGCAAUGGACGAAAGUCUGACCGAGCAACGCCGCGUGAGCGAAGAAGGCCUUCGGGUCGUAAAGCUCUGUUGUUAGAGAAGAACAUGGGUGAGAGUAACUGUUCACCCCUUGACGGUAUCUAACCAGAAAGCCACGGCUAACUACGUGCCAGCAGCCGCGGUAAUACGUAGGUGGCAAGCGUUGUCCGGAAUUAUUGGGCGUAAAGCGCGCGCAGGCGGUCUCUUAAGUCUGAUGUGAAAGCCCCCGGCUCAACCGGGGAGGGUCAUUGGAAACUGGGAGACUUGAGGACAGAAGAGGAGAGUGGAAUUCCAAGUGUAGCGGUGAAAUGCGUAGAUAUUUGGAGGAACACCAGUGGCGAAAGCGGCUCUCUGGUCUGUUACUGACGCUGAGGCGCGAAAGCGUGGGGAGCAAACAGGAUUAGAUACCCUGGUAGUCCACGCCGUAACGAUGAGUGCUAAGUGUUAGGGGGUUUCCGCCCCUUA